rnacentral:rRNA from 1 species
UACUCUCGUGAGARUUUGAUCCUGGCUCAGGACGAACGCUGGCGGCGUGCCUAACACAUGCAAGUCGCACGGUUCUGGGGGCUGGAAGCUAGGGGCUAGAGGCUGGAAAAAGGGCAGGUAUUGGCAAAGCCGAUGCCAACGAGGAAUCCAGCAUCAAGCAUCCGGCUUCCAGCUUCCAGGGCAGUGGCGGACGGGUGAGUAACACGUGGAUAACCUACCCUUCAGACCCGGGAUAACCCCUGGGAAAACCCGGGGCUAAUACCGGAUACGUUCCUGUUGGGGCAUCCUGACGGGAAGGAAGGCGGCCUCUGGGAAACCAAGCUGUCGCUGAAGGAUGGGUCCGCGGCCCAUUAGCUAGUUGGUGAGGUAAAGGCUCACCAAGGCGACGAUGGGUAGCCGGCCUGAGAGGGUGGCCGGCCACACUGGGACUGAGAUACGGCCCAGACUCCUACGGGAGGCAGCAGUGGGGAAUCUUGCGCAAUGGGGGAAACCCUGACGCAGCGACGCCGCGUGGGUGAAGAAGGCCUUCGGGUUGUAAAGCCCUGUCAUAGGGGACGAAGUCUGUAGGGUGAAUAGCGCUACAGGUGACGGUACUCUAAGAGGAAGCCCCGGCUAACUACGUGCCAGCCGCCGCGGUAAUACACGAGAGUA